AAGUCGUAACAAGGUUUCCGUAGGUGAACCUGCGGAAGGAUCAUUAACACAAUAUCCUAACACCUUGUGUGAACCCGUAACCGUCUUUUUUACGUUACUCGAAUUCAACUGAUGCUGGAGCCUUCGGGUUCUUAGCAUUUAAAACUAAUCAAAACAACUGCUAGCAACGGAUGUCUUGGUUCUC
rnacentral:misc_RNA from 1 species